rnacentral:rRNA from 1 species
UUCGAUCGCUCAGUAGUCUGUAUAUUCGAGUUGUUGCAGUUAAAAAGCUGCGUAGUUGAAACUUGGGCCUGGCUGGCGGGUCCGCCUCACCGCGUGCACUCGUCCGGCCGGGCCUUCCUUCUGAAGAACCUCAUGCCCUUCACUGGGCGUGUUGGGGAAUCAGGACUUUUACUUUGAAAAAAUUAGAGUGUUCAAAGCAGGCCUUUGCUCGAAUACGUUAGCAUGGAAUAAUAAAAUAGGGCGUGCGUUUCUAUUUUGUUGGUUUCUAGAGACGCCGCAAUGAUUAACAGGAACAGUCGGGGGCAUCAGUAUUCAGUUGUCAGAGGUGAAAUUCUUGGAUUUACUGAAGACUAACUACUGCGAAAGCAUUUGCCAAGGAUGUUUUCAUUAAUCAGUGAACGAAAGUUAGGGGAUCGAAGACGUCA